UGUCUUCAUAUCAAAUUGUUUUCACGGAAAGUGUCGUGCAAGAAGCAAGUUCUCUUCACUCCCUGAUGUCGCCCCUGCAUUUUUUUCGUGAUCCAUGUUUCUAUUUUACUUUUGGUUUUCGGAGUUGAUGGUCUAUUGUUUGUACUUCUGUGUCUCGGGUUUCACGGUCUUUUGUUCUUUUAUUUUCCUACUUUAUGACUAUAGUCUGAGUGUUGAUUUUCAUUUCUAAACGUGCGCAAUGUUGCAUGUCCACCAAUGUCCAGAUAUUGUGCGGGAAAAUAUUUUAAGAAUAUGCUCUACGAUGCCACUGGACACAGAAAAAAAAUGUCUUUUCUGCAUCGAUAAUUGAACUUGAUAUCAAAGAAUACAAAACUGCCUUUUUGUAUAUUAAACCACAGGCCUUGGGCAUAUGAUACAGAUAUAUUUUUUUCUC
rnacentral:lncRNA from 1 species